rnacentral:rRNA from 1 species
AUCGAACGCUGGCGGCAGGCCUAACACAUGCAAGUCGAACGAGUGGCGGACGGGUGAGUAAUGGCUUGGCAACUGCCUGAUGGAGGGGGAUAACGACUGGAAACGGUAGCUAAUACCGCAUACCAUCAGAUGUGCCCAGAUGGGAUUAGCGAGCUGGGGGGGUAACGGCUCACCAAGGCGACGAGCCCUAGCUGGGCUGAGAGGAUGACCGGCCACACUGGAACUGAGACACGGUCCAGACUCCUACGGGAGGCAGCAGUGGGGAAUAUUGCACAAUGGGCGCAAGCCUGAUGCAGCCAUGCCGCGUGUAUGAAGAAGGCCUUCGGGUUGUAAAGUACUUUCGGCGGGGAGGCGUUACCCGCAGAAAAAGCACCGGCUAACUCCGUGCCAGCAGCCGCGGUAAUAC